UACGGAGGGUGCAAGCGUUGUUCGGAUUUACUGGGCGUAAAGCGCGCGCAGGUGGGUGAACAAGUCGGAAGUGAAAUCUUGAGGCUCAACCUCGAGGCUGCUCCCGAAACUGUUCGCCUAGGGACUGGUAGAGGCUGGUAGAAUUCCCGGUGUAGCGGUGGAAUGCGUAGAGAUUGGGAAGAAUACCUGUGGCGAAGGCGGCCAGCUGGGCCAGAUCCGACACUGAGGCGCGAAAGCGUGGGGAGCAAACAGG
rnacentral:rRNA from 1 species